rnacentral:rRNA from 1 species
UGGGGAAUAUUGGACAAUGGGCGCAAGCCUGAUCCAGCCAUGCCGCGUGAGUGAUGAAGGCCUUAGGGUUGUAAAGCUCUUUCACCGGUGAAGCGGUAACCGGAGAAGAAGCCCCGGCUAACUUCGUGCCAGCAGCCGCGGUAAUACGAAGGGGGCUAGCGUUGUUCGGAAUUACUGGGCGUAAAGCGCACGUAGGCGGAUUGGUCAGUUAGGGGUGAAAUCCCGGAGCUCAACUCCGGAACUGCCUUUAAUACUGCCAGUCUAGAGACCGAGAGAGGUAAGUGGAACUCCUAGUGUAGAGGUGGAAUUCGUAGAUAUUAGGAAGAACACCAGUGGCGAAGGCGGCUUACUGGCUCGGAACUGACGCUGAGGUGCGAAAGCGUGGGGAGCAAACAGGAUUAGAUA